UGAGUAACCUGCCCUUAACUCUGGGAUAAGCCUGGGAAACUGGGUCUAAUACCGGAUAUGACUCCUCAUCGCAUGGUGGGGGGUGGAAAGCUUUUUUGUGGUUUUGGAUGGACUCGCGGCCUAUCAGCUUGUUGGUGAGGUAAUGGCUCACCAAGGCGACGACGGGUAGCUGGUCUGAGAGGAUGGCCAGCCACAUUGGGACUGAGACACGGCCCAGACCUCCGUACGGGAGGNAG
rnacentral:rRNA from 1 species